GCGUGGAUGAUGAAGGCCCUAGGGUUGUAAAAUCCUUUCGUCGGGGACGAUAAUGACGGUACCCGAAGAAGAAGCUCCGGCUAACUUCGUGCCAGCAGCCGCGGUAAUACGAAGGGGGCUAGCGUUGUUCGGAUUUACUGGGCGUAAAGCGCGUGUAGGCGGGCCGGUAAGUUGGGGGUGAAAUCCCGAGGCUCAACCUCGGAACUGCCUCCAAAACUGUCGGCCUGGAGCAAGAUAGAGGCGAGUGGAAUUGCGAGUGUAGAGGUGAAAUUCGU
rnacentral:rRNA from 1 species